ACAGGAUUAGAUACCCUGGUAGUCCACGCCGUAAACGAUGAUCACUGGAUGUAUGGGAUAUACACUAUGCGUCUGAGUAAAAGCAUUAAGUGAUCCACCUGGGGAGUACGUCGGCAACGAUGAAACUCAAAGGAAUUGACGGGGGCCCGCACAAGCGGAGGAACAUGUGGUUUAAUUCGAUGAUACGCGAGGAACCUUACCUGGGCUCGAACGCGGAGGGAAUGUAGGUGAAAGCUUACAGCUAGCAAUAGUCGUCUGCGAGGUGCUGCAUGGUUGUCGUCAGCUCGUGCCGUGAGGUGUCGGCUUAAGUGCCAUAACGAGCGCAACCCUUAUCUUUAGUUGCCAGCGGGUUAAGCCGGGGACUCUAAAGAAACUGCCAGCGUAAGCUGUGAGGAAGGCGGGGAUGACGUCAAAUCAGCACGGCCCUUACGUCCAGGGCUACACACGUGUUACAAUGGAUAGUACAGAGGGCAGCUACACCGCGAGGUGAUGCUAAUCUCCAAAGCUAUUCUCAGUUCGGAUUGGAGUCUGCAACUCGACUCCAUGAAGCUGGAUUCGCUAGUAAUCGCGCAUCAGCCACGGCGCGGUGAAUACGUUCCCGGGCCUUGUACACACCGCCCGUCAAGCCAUGGGAGCUGGGGGUACCUGAAGUAUGCAACCGCAAGGAGCGUCCUGGGGUAAAACUGGUGACUGGGGCUAAGUCGUAACAAGGUAACCAAGGGC
rnacentral:rRNA from 1 species